rnacentral:rRNA from 1 species
AAGGAAAGCAAUCUGCCCUACGGCACCCGAUCUCGUCUGAUCUUGGAAGCUAAGCAGGGUUGGGCCUGGUUAGUACUUGGAUGGGAGAAAAGUAAUCUGAGAGAGUAACAAGGAGAUAUUCAGCUUACUUUCCAUU